rnacentral:pre_miRNA from 1 species
UAAAUACUCCCUCCGUCCGGAAAUACUUGUCAUCAAAAUGGAUAAAAGGAAAUGUAUCUAGACGUAUUUUAGUUUUAGAUACAUAUCUUUUUAUCCAUUUUGAUGACAAGUAUUUUCGGACGGAGGGAGUAGAAA